rnacentral:tRNA from 1 species
AUUUAAAUAGCUUAUAAGUUAGAGCAUGAUACUGAAGAUAUCAAGGAAAUUUUUUAAUUUUUAAAUA